CCUACGGGAGGCAGCAGUGGGGAAUAUUGGGCAAUGGGCGCAAGCCUGACCCAGCAACGCCGCGUGAAGGAAGAAGGCUCUAGGGAUGGUAACUUUCUUUUUUAGGGACGCAGAAUGUGACGGUACCUGCGGAAUAAGCCACGGCUAACUACGUGCCAGCACCCGCAGGAAUACGUCGGCCGCAAUCGUUAGUCGGAUUUAUUGGGUGUCAAGGGUGUGUAGGCGGGAGUGCAAGUCAGAUGGGAAAAUUCAGGGCCCAACCCUGAGCGUGCCGUUGACACUGGGUUUCUUGAGUGCUGGAGAGGUAAGCGGAAUGCGGGGUGUAGCGGUGAAAUGCGUAGAUAUACGGAGGAACACCGGUGGCGAAGGCAGAAUGCUGGAGAGGAACUGACGCUGAGGCACGAAAGCGUGGGUAGCGAACAGGAUUAGAUACCCCGGUAGUC
rnacentral:rRNA from 1 species